rnacentral:rRNA from 1 species
UAUUGCACAAUGGGGGGAACCCUGAUGCAGCGACGCCGCGUGGGUGAAGAAGUAUUUCGGUAUGUAAAGCCCUAUCAGCAGGGAAGAAAUUGGACGGUACCUGCCUAAGAAGCCCCGGCUAACUACGUGCCAGCAGCCGCGGUAAUACGUAGGGGGCAAGCGUUAGCCGGAGUCACUGGGUGUAAAGGGAGCGUAGACGGCCAUGCAAGCCUGGAGUGAAAGCCCGGGGCCCAACCCCGGGACUGCUCUGGGAACUGUGCGGCUGGAGUGCGGGAGGGGCAGGCGGAAUUCCUGGUGUAGCGGUGAAAUGCGUAGAUAUCAGGAGGAACACCGGCGGCGAAGGCGGCCUGCUGGACCGUAACUGACGUUGAGGCUCGAAAGCGUGGGGAGCAAACAGG